rnacentral:rRNA from 1 species
AUUGAACGCUGGCGGCAUGCUUUACACAUGCAAGUCGAGCGGCAGCGCGGGGCAACCUGGCGGCGAGCGGCGAACGGGUGAGUAACAUAUCGGAACGUACCCAGUCGUGGGGGAUAACUAUCCGAAAGGAUAGCUAAUACCGCAUACGACCUGAGGGUGAAAGCGGGGGACCGAAAGGCCUCGCGCGAUUGGAGCGGCCGAUAUCGGAUUAGCUAGUUGGUGAGGUAAAGGCUCACCAAGGCGACGAUCCGUAGCUGGUCUGAGAGGACGACCAGCCACACUGGAACUGAGACACGGUCCAGACUCCUACGGGAGGCAGCAGUGGGGAAUUUUGGACAAUGGGGGGCAACCCUGAUCCAGCCAUUCCGCGUGAGUGAAGAAGGCC